GCGGCUGUGGCGGAACUGGUAGACGCGCAGCGUUGAGGUCGCUGUGGGAUAAAACCCGUGGAAGUUCAAGUCUUCUCAGCCGCACCA
rnacentral:tRNA from 1 species